rnacentral:rRNA from 1 species
GUGAGGAAUUUUCCGCAAUGGGCGAAAGCCUGACGGAGCAAUGCCGCGUGAAGGAUGAAGGCCUAUGGGUUGUAAACUUCUUUUCUUAGAGAAGAAUAUUGACGGUAUCUGCAGAAUAAGCAUCGGCUAACUCUGUGCCAGCAGCCGCGGUAAGACAGAGGCUGCAAGCGUUAUCCGGAAUGAUUGGGAGUAAAGCGUCUGUAGUUGGUUUCACAAUUCUCCUGUCAAAGAUCAGGGCUUAACCCUGGGCCGGCAGCGGAAACGCUGAGGCUAGAGUUUUGUAGGGGGCGGGGGAAUUCCGGGUGGAGCGGUGAAAUGCGUAGAGAUCGGGAGGAACACCAAAGGCGAAAGCACUCUGCUGGGCCACAACUGACACUGAGAGACGAAAGCGAGGGGAGCAAAAGGGAUUAGAUACCCCAGUAGUCC